rnacentral:rRNA from 1 species
GGUUUGAUUAUGGCUCAGAUUGAACGCUGGCGGAUGCUUUACACAUGCAAGUCGAACGGCAGCACGGACUUCGGUCUGGUGGCGAGUGGCGAACGGGUGAGUAAUGUAUCGGAACGUGCCUAGUAGCGGGGAUAACUACGCGAAAGCGUAGCUAAUACCGCAUACGCCCUUCGGGGAAAGCGGGGGACCUUCGGGCCUCGCACUAUUAGAGCGGCCGAUAUCGGAUUAGCUAGUUGGUGGGUAACGCUCACCAAGGUGACGAUCCGUAGCUGGUUUGAGAGGAUGACCAGCCACACUGGGACUGGAGAUUAUUAGGCCCAGACUCCUACGGGAGGCAGCAGUAGGGGAAUUUUGACAAUGGGGAAACCUCAUCCAGCCAUCCCGCGUGUGCGAUGAAGGCCUUCGGGUUGUAAAGCACUUUUGGCAGGAGAAGAAACGGCACGGGAUAAUACCCCGCGCAACUGACGGUACCUGCAGAAUAAGCACCGGCUAACCACGUGCCAGCAGCCGCGGUAAUACGUAGGGUGCAAGCGUUAAUCGGAAUUACUGGGCGUAAAAGCGUGCGCAGCAGGCGGUUCGGAAAGAAAGCGAUGAAACCUUGAGCUUAACUUCGGAACUGCAUUUUUAACUACCGAGCUAGAGUGUGUCAGAGGGAGGUGGAAUUUCGCGUGUAGCAGUGAAAUGCGUAGAUAGCGCGGAGGAACACCGAUGGCGAAGGGCAGCCUCCUGGGAUAACACUGACGUCAUGCACGAAAGCGGAGCAAACAGGAUUAGAUACCCUGGUAGUCCACGCCCUAAACGAUGUCAACUAGCUGUUGGGGCUCCUCGCCUGCAGCAGCUAAUGCGUGAAGUUGACCGCCUGGGGAGUACGGUCGCAAGAUUAAAACUCAAAGGAAUUGACGGGGACCCGCACAAGCGGUGGAUGAUGUGGAUUGACUGAUGCAAACGCGAAAAACCUUACCUACCCUUGACAUGUCUGGAAUCCCGAAGAGAUUUGGGUGAGUGCUCGCAAGAGAACCGGAAACACAGGUGCUGCAUGGCUGUCGUCAGCUCGUGUCGAGAUGUUGGGUUAAGUCCAUAACGAGCGCAACUCUUGUCAUUAGUUGCUACGAAAGGGCACUCUAAUGAGACUGCAGGUGACAAACCGGAGGAAGGUGGGGAUGACGUCAAGUCCUCAUGGCCUAUGGGUAGGGCUUCACACGUCACAAUGGUCGGGAGAGAGGGUCGCCAACCCGCGAGGGUGGAGCCGGGAAUCCCAGAAACCCGAUCGUAGUCCGGAUCAGUCUGCAACUCGACUGUGAAGUCGGAAUCGCUAGUAAUCGCGGAUCAGCAUGUCGCGGUGAAUACGUUCCCGGGUCUUGUACACACCGCCCGUCACACCAUGGGAGUGGGUUUUACCAGAAGUAGUUAGCCUAACCGUAAGGAGGUGGCGAUUAACACGGUAGGAUUCAUGAUCAGUGGUCGUAACAAGGUAA